GUGAAUCAUCGAAUCUUUGAACGCACCUUGCGCCCUCUGGUAUUCCGGAGGGCAUGCCUGUUUGAGUGUCAUGUAGACUCAAUCCCUCGGGUUUCCGAGGAGAUUGGACUUGGGUGUUGCCGCUCUGCCGGCUCGCCUUAAAAGACUUGGCGGGAUAGCACCGUAGUCGGCGUAAUAAGUUUCGUCGGUGAAGGUUGUGAUGACUGCUUACAAUCGCCCUCGGGCAAUUUUUGACUCUGACCUCAAAUCAGGUAGGACUACCCGCUGAACUUAAGCAUAUCAAUAAGCGGAGGA
rnacentral:misc_RNA from 1 species